ensembl:snRNA U6 U6 spliceosomal RNA
GCACUUCAGGGCAUAUAAAACUGGAACUGUACACAAACGAUUAGCUUGUCCCUACACAAGGAUGACGUGCAAGUUUAUUACGAAUUCAGUUGUUUA